rnacentral:rRNA from 1 species
UACGAAGGGGGCUAGCGUUGCUCGGAAUCACUGGGCGUAAAGGGUGCGUAGGCGGGUUUUUAAGUCAGAGGUGAAAUCCUGGAGCUCAACUCCAGAACUGCCUUGAUACUGAAAGUCUUGAGUAUGGGAGAGGUGAGUGGAACUGCGAGUGUAGAGGUGAAAUUCGUAGAUAUUCGCAAGAACACCAGUGGCGAAGGCGGCUCACUGGCCCAUAACUGACGCUGAGGCACGAAAGCGUGGGGAGCAAACAGG